rnacentral:rRNA from 1 species
AUUGAACGCUGGCGGCAGGCCUAACACAUGCAAGUCGAACGAGCGGCGGACGGGUGAGUAAUGUCUGGGAAACUGCCUGAUGGAGGGGGAUAACUACUGGAAACGGUAGCUAAUACCGCAUACCAUCAGAUGUGCCCAGAUGGGAUUAGCUAGUGGGUGGGGUAACGGCUCACCUGGGCGACGAUCCCUAGCUGGUCUGAGAGGAUGACCAGCCACACUGGAACGGAGACACGGUCCAGACUCCUACGGGAGGCAGCAGUGGGGAAUAUUGCACAAUGGGCGCAAGCCUGAUGCAGCCAUGCCGCGUGUAUGAAGAAGGCCGUCGGGUUGUAAAGUACUUUCAGCGGGGAGGCGUUACCCGCAGAAGAAGCACCGGCUAACUCCGUGCCAGCAGCCGCGGUAAUAC